GAUGAAGAACGCAGCGAAAUGCGAUAAGUAAUGUGAAUUGCAGAAUUCCGUGAAUCAUCGAAUCUUUAAACGCACAUUGCGCCCCCUGGCAUUCCGGGGGGCAUGCCUGUCCGAGCGUCAUUUCUGCCCUCCAGCCCGGCUGGGUGUUGGGCGCUGUCCCCCCGGGGACACGCCCCAAAGGCAGUGGCGGCGCCGCGUCGGGUCCUCGAGCGUAUGGGGCUUUGUCACCCGCUCGGGACGGACUCGUCGGCGCUGGUCUUCCUCCAGGCGACCCUUCGGGGCUCGUCUUCCUUCGGUUGACCUCGGAUCAGGUAGGGUUACCCGCUGAACUUAAGCAUAUCAAUAAGCGGAGGA
rnacentral:misc_RNA from 1 species